GACGAACGCUGGCGGCGUGCUUAACACAUGCAAGUCGAACGAAGAGCGAUGGAAGCUUGCUUCUAUCAAUCUUAGUGGCGAACGGGUGAGUAACGCGUAAUCAACCUGCCCUUCAGAGGGGGACAACAGUUGGAAACGACUGCUAAUGCCGCAUACGAUCUGACCUCGGCAUCGAGGAUAGAUUAAAGGUGGCCUCUAUUUAUAAGCUAUCACUGAAGGAGGGGAUUGCGUCUGAUUAGCUCGUUGGAGGGGUAACGGCCCACCAAGGCGAUGAUCAGUAGCCGGGCUGAGAGGAUGAACGGCCACAUUGGGACUGAGACACGGCCCAGGCUCCUACGGGAGGCAGCAGGGGGGAAUCUUCCGAAAUGGACGAAAGGCUGACGGAGCAACGCCGCGGGAGUGAUGACGGCCUUCGGGUUGGAAAGCUCGGUUAAUCGGGACGAAAGGCCUUCUUGCGAAUAGUUAGAAGGAUUGACGGUACCGGAAUAGAAAGCCACGGCUAACUACGUG
rnacentral:rRNA from 1 species